GAUGAAUAACGUAGCGAAAUGCGAUACGUAGUGUGAAUUGCAGAAUUCAGUGAAUCAUCGAAUCUUUGAACGCACAUUGCGCCCUUUGGUAUUCCAAAGGGCAUGCCUGUUCGAGCGUCAUUUGUACCCUCAAGCUUUGCUUGGUGUUGGGCGUCUUGUCUCCAGUCCGCUGGAGACUCGCCUUAAAGUCAUUGGCAGCCGGCCUACUGGUUUCGGAGCGCAGCACAAGUCGCACUCUUUUCCAGCCAAGGUCAGUGUCCAACAAGCCUUUUUUCAACUUUUGACCUCGGAUCAGGUAGGGAUACCCGCUGAACUUAAGCAUAUCAAUAAGCGGAGGA
rnacentral:misc_RNA from 1 species